rnacentral:rRNA from 1 species
GACGAACGCUGGCGGCGUGCUAAACACAUGCAAGUCGAACGGAAAGGCCCUGCUUUUGUGGGGGGCUCGAGUGGCGAACGGGUGAGUAACACGGGAGUAACCUGCCCUGGACUUUGGGAUAACUUCAGGAAACUGGGGCUAAUACCGGAUAGGAGCUCCUGCUGCAUGGUGGGGGUUGGAAAGUUUCGGCGGUUGGGGAUGGACUCGCGGCUUAUCAGCUUGUUGGUGGGGUAGUGGCUUACCAAGGCUUUGACGGGUAGCCGGCCUGAGAGGGUGACCGGCCACAUUGGGACUGAGAUACGGCCCAGACUCCUACGGGAGGCAGCAGUGGGGAAUAUUGCACAAUGGGCGGAAGCCUGAUGCAGCAACGCCGCGUGCGGGAUGACGGCCUUCGGGUUGUAAACCGCUUUCGCCUGUGACGAAGCGUGAGUGACGGUAAUGGGUAAAGAAGCACCGGCUAACUACGUG